rnacentral:rRNA from 1 species
AUUGAACGCUGGCGGCGUGCUUAACACAUGCAAGUCGAUCGGUAACGCGGGGGCAACCCUGGCGACGAGAGGCGGACGGGUGAGGAACGCUUGGGAAUCUGCCUAUCAGAGGGGGACAACACGGGGAAAAUCGUGCUAAUACCGCAUACGCCUGACGGAGGCAAGCCGGUGACCGCAGGCGCUGGCACUAAUAGAUGUGCCCAAGACGGAUUAGCGAGUUGGCGGGGUAACGGCCCACCAAGGCGACGAUCCGUAGCUAGGUUGAGAGGACGAUCAGCCACACUGGAACUGAGACACGGUCAAGACUCCUACGGGAGGCAGCAGUGGGGAAUAUUGGACAAUGGGGGCAACCUUGAUCCAGCCAUGCCGCGUGAGUGAAGAAGGCCUUCGGGUUGUAAAGCUCUUUCGGCCGGGAAGAAAUCGCACGGGCUCAUACCCUGUGUGGAUGACGGUACCGGAAUAAGAAGCACCGGCUAACUACGUGCCAGCAGCCGCGGUAACAC